AACGAACGCUGGCGGCAGGCUUAACACAUGCAAGUCGAGCGCCCCGCAAGGGGAGCGGCAGACGGGUGAGUAACGCGUGGGAAUCUACCCAUCUCUACGGAAUAACGCAUGGAAACGUGUGCUAAUACCGUAUACGUCCUUCGGGAGAAAGAUUUAUCGGAGAUGGAUGAGCCCGCGUUGGAUUAGCUAGUUGGUGGGGUAAAGGCCUACCAAGGCGACGAUCCAUAGCUGGUCUGAGAGGAUGAUCAGCCACACUGGGACUGAGACACGGCCCAGACUCCUACGGGAGGCAGCAGUGGGGAAUAUUGGACAAUGGGCGCAAGCCUGAUCCAGCCAUGCCGCGUGAGUGAUGAAGGCCCUAGGGUUGUAAAGCUCUUUUGGCGGGGAAGAUAAUGACGGUACCCGCAGAAUAAGCUCCGGCUAACUUCGUGCCAGCCGCCGCAGUAAGAC
rnacentral:rRNA from 1 species